rnacentral:rRNA from 1 species
UGGGGAAUAUUGCACAAUGGGCGCAAGCCUGAUGCAGCCAUGCCGCGUGUAUGAAGAAGGCCUUCGGGUUGUAAAGUACUUUCAGCGGGGAGGAAGGCGAUAAGGUUAAUAACCUUGUCGAUUGACGUUACCCGCAGAAGAAGCACCGGCUAACUCCGUGCCAGCAGCCGCGGUAAUACGGAGGGUGCAAGCGGUAAUCGGAAUUACUGGGCGUAAAGCGCACGCAGGCGGUCUGUCAAGUCGGAUGUGAAAUCCCCGGGCUCAACCUGGGAACUGCAUUCGAAACUGGCAGGCUAGAGUCUUGUAGAGGGGGGUAGAAUUCCAGGUGUAGCGGUGAAAUGCGUAGAGAUCUGGAGGAAUACCGGUGGCGAAGGCGGCCCCCUGGACAAAGACUGACGCUCAGGUGCGAAAGCGUGGGGAGCAAACA